GAGGAAUAUUGGUCAAUGGGCGCAAGCCUGAACCAGCCAUCCCGCGUGCAGGAAGACGGCCCUAUGGGUUGUAAACUGCUUUUCCAGGGAGAGAAACUUACGCACGUGUUGCGUGACUGACGGUACCCUGGGAAUAAGCAUCGGCUACCUCCGUGCCAGCAGCCGCGGUAAUACGGAGGAUGCAAGCGUUAUCCGGAUUCAUUGGGUUUAAAGGGUGCGUAGGCGGGCUAUUAAGUCAGUGGUGAAAUCCUGCAGCUUAACUGCAGAACUGCCGUUGAUACUGAUAGUCUUGAGUUUGGUUAAGGUAGGCGGAAUGUGUAAUGUAGCGGUGAAAUGCUUAGAUAUUACACAGAACACCAAUUGCGUAGGCAGCUUACUGAGCCGACACUGACGCUGAGGCACGAAAGCGUGGGGAUCAAAC
rnacentral:rRNA from 1 species